UAUUACUGAACUGCAAGUUUCUUGUCUCUGCCAUCUUUUCUACCUGUCCUGUUAUGUUUUGUUAGUACUAGAUAAUUUCUGUGGAAUUGCUUUAAAACAAUGAAAGCACUUCAUAUCUUUUUCUAUUUAUAGUGAGAAUGAAUGAUUCCAUUCACAUUCUUGCCAGUAAACUGAUUAAGCUGAGAGGAUUGGGCCAUAGGGAGAGACUAGUUACAGGAUUAAGGAGGUACUGUUUCUAUGUGUGGAAAAGGUCUUUGGAGUUCUUAAACUAUUUUCAGCCUCCAAAUCCUUGGAAUUGUAUGGGCAUCAUUUAAAGAGUGGAACUAAAAAAAAUUACUAGUCUAUAGUUGAAUUUUAAAAAAUGCUUCUUGUGUAUCUAAGUAUUUUACAUUUGUUUAAUAGCUCUGGUAUUCUUUUCAGUUAAGUUUUCUAGACUUUUAUAAAGAAAGAUAGUCUUCAAGAACUUAAUACAUUCCUCAAGGGGAAACAAAGGCUUAGAGCCAUGUGCGAGAAACUGAGUGUUCUGAAGUACCAGGUUAGGAUUUGACAAAAUGUCAGUAAGUGGAUGUUAAUGUACGUUACCCACCUGUCCUCUAAACUACAGAAUGCUUUUGACUAGAAUGGCUUAUAAGCAGACACCCAAAGUUCUUCCCCAUAAGGUUAAAUAAUGACAAAUAAUGUAAUUUCCAGUGUUUUGUAAAGUGUCAUUUUACGAUAACUGUCACUCUUUUAACUGUAUGGAAUGGAAUUAAGUGGCAUAGUGUUUUGAUGCCCAUCAUCUAUUUAAAAAAAGUGAACUAGCUCUCUCAUAGUCAAAGUUUUAGAGCGUAUUGCUAUUCUAUCCCCUACAGCAGUGGUUCUCAGUUAGGGACUGUUGCCUCCUAGGAACAGUGGGCACUAUCCGGAGACGUUUUUGGUACAUAACUAGGGAGUAGGGGUUACUGGCAUCUAGUGGGAAAAGGCCAGAUAUUGCAAAACAUCUUGCAUUGCUCAAAGCAACCCCAACAACAAAGAAUUAACCAGCCCAAAAUGUCAGUAGUGCUAUGCUAUUGAGAACCUUGACCUACAGAAUUCUACUCUUACGUAGUAUGGUUUUAGGUGAAAGUUUUAUUGGUUAUCAUUCUUUCCUGCAGCAAAAAAAAGUGCAUAUUUAAAUUUAUUGCAUAUCUUGUGAUCAAAAUGUUCUAAAUGUCAAUUCUGAAAAGAUCUUUUGUGUCAUUACAACUAUUACUAGUAUAUAGCUCAUCAAAAUAUAAAUAUUACAAUUGUGAAUAAUUAUAAAAAUUAAUAUUUGAUUGAAAUGUAUUUCUUAAUGAGAUUGGGCUCUUUGUCGUUUAGCUUAAGUUUCCAUGGAUGAUUAUUAUUUAUUGCUAGAAUCUGACAGAGUUCAACAUCAAUUCUUUUUCUCUUUUUCAUUUUUAGAGACAUAAAGACCAAAAACAUCUUGUUAAUUUAAGAUGAGAGGAAUAAGAAUAUUAAUAUAGCAAUUUCACUCUUUUUAUUCCUUCUGAGUUAUAUGCCAAAAGUUAUUUACUGACACUGAUGUAUCAGAAUAUUCUUAAUGACAUAUCAACUAGGUUUUCUGGUUUAGUUUGGUGUAGAAGCAAAUCCUUGGAAUCCCAAUUUGGAAAAUGGUUCCUUACCUGGUCAUUACUUUUCUCGAUAUUGACUGUUUAGUGCCCUGGCAGUUAUGUCCUAGAACAACGCACGGUACUAAGAUUCAGGAGGGGUAAGCGGUAUUGCUUUUGUAAGGGCCAAAAUGGCAAUUCUCUGUGUAUGCAGGUACUCAAAACAGUGUCUGAUUUAAGUGGUGGUUUAUUGAUCAUUGCUGGAUGGGUGAAUGGAUGAACAACUGAAGGAAUGAGUACUUUAGGAUUAAAUAUUAUCAUAAUAAUCCAAACUAGAAACAUGGCUGAUAGCAGGGAAGCUGGUGAGAACAGGUAUAUUCUGGAUGCAUUCUGAAGGCAAACCUAACAGAGCUUACUCCAGCUUUGGAUGUGAGGGAAAGGGGAGCAUCAGCUAUCACUGCAUGGUUUUUGUCUGAAACUGCUGGAAGAGUUAGCAUUUACCGAGGAGGGGGGACUGAGAGGAAGAGGAUGAGGAGGAUACAAUUCCCCCUGUCCGUUUUCUUCAGUGCCACAUUUGUGUUUCUAAGCUUAAUUUAGCUGUUGAAAUCUGUAGUUAUCUAUAGAAAUAGAAAUCAUAUUGUAUAUGACAUUCAGUCUAAUUAAAAAACCUACGCAGUCGUUUUUCCACAAAAUGAUAUUAUUCCCACCUUGUGUCUAACUUCAGUGCCUAAAAUUCAAGCACUUGACAAUGUUAAUUGUAGCUUUUCUAAGUAAUGUUAGUUAUCUGAUUUAUGUAUAUGAGAUGUACCUUAAGGACAGGUUUUAUAGGUAAAAACUGUUCCAUGUUUUAGUAGAAUUCUCAACACAUUUUAUUGUAUUUUAAAUCAAUAACUCUACACAUAGGUAUUUUUAGGACAGAUGUCAUAUCAAAUUAUUGGCUCCGUUGGAUGUAAAAAUAAACUUCUCAAACUUAUAAACACAAAAAUCAUAAUUUUGCUUGAGAUAAUUGAAUUAUAUAGUUUUCUGACUUGAUCAGAAUAAUGCAAAUUAGCUCAAAUGCAAUGGUAACAUUAUAAUUCAUGAUUAUUAAUUCAGAUUAACAUGCAGUGUUACAUAAAGUAUUCCACCUUGACUAGGCUAAUCCAGAGAGGCAUAUUUUUCUCUUAGUAAAUUUUUAAAACUUCUGGUUUUUUUCUAGUUCACUUCAGCAGAGAAAAUAUUGUAUGCAAAGACAAAAAAAUUAACACCAUUUCAAUGAGAGGUCACUUACAUAUUCCAUUGUGAAGACGUUUUCAAAAGUUAAUACAAAACAUGUACACCUGUCCUGUUUUCCUCCUAAGCCUCACAUUGCUAUGUCUCCUACCUCUCCGCAUCUGCUGGCUUGUACACAUGGUGUUCCUGUCUCCUCUGCUGGAUGAUGGCAGCUGCAGCCCACUGCUCUUCUCUCUAAGCAAGCAUGCCAGAAAGCUUGGAGAACCGCAGCUGCCCUUUUCAGAGCAAAAGGGCAGCUAAAGCUGGAUAGCUAAAGCUGGGACUUCUUACUAAGUAAGAUAUGAACAACUCCUGCCCACCACUGCAAUUCCCCAGUGUAUAAACAUCAGCUUCCACAAACUUAAGAUAUGCCUCCGAGGAGUCAGAGGAGCUUGUUCCAACCCUUGCUAUGGUUUGGUUUUUAUCACUGGCAUCAAAUCGUUCAGUUAUUUUCCUUGCAUUAAUAGGCUUCAUUUCUGUACAAGAAAAUGUCUUAAAUGAUCAUAGUUUGUCCGUCAUCGUUUCAAGUAAAAAUGGUUUGCCAUGACAAAAGCAGCUAUUUGAGCUUGCAACUCAAAAGACUUACAUGUGCUUUUUCUGAAGACACUGUAUUUUAGUAUGCAGAAGAAUUAAUUUACGUGUAUUUCCCAUUUGUCACACAAAAUGUUAAAGGGACAUGUACUCCAUAAAAUUAAUGGUUUUUACUAAGUUUUUUUAAGGACAUUCUUAAACUUUUUUUUUUCAUAACGUGUGGCAGGAAGAAUACAUUGACUUAAUUCAUGCUAGCAGUUUUACUCACCAUUGCUUUUGCACCAUCAAUGCAAAUGCUAAUGCAGGUGUUCCAAGAUAAACUAUGAAAUUCAAAAAGUUCAUUUACCACUUUGAUAUUUCAGCACAAGUUGUAUUUAAUGCCUGUCAUUCAAAUAAAAGAUCUUCUCUGAUGAUUAGUUGGUGCUGAUACCAGAUAGAUGUAGGCAAAACAGCUAGUCCAGCAAAAUCUGUAGGCCUGCCCAUUUUUUAAGGUAAAAUUACAAUUCUGCAGACGAGAUAUCAACCCAAUCUUCAUGAUUUCAGUUAAAUCUUUAAAGAGUUACUGUAUAUGUGGAAAAUUGAACUUACGUAAUUUAUUUUACUGACUUUUCAUCCAGCAGGUAUUGCGAUGUCAUCUGUAUACAGCUUCAUUCGUAUUUUUUAUGCUCCAGCCAAUGCAAUACAAUAAUUCAGUCUGUAAA